rnacentral:rRNA from 1 species
CCAAUAGCGUAUAUUAAAGUUGUUGCAGUUAAAAAGCUCGUAGUUGAAUUUCGGGAUCAAUAUAACGGUCAUGCCGUUGGUGUGCACUGUUAUAAUUGAUUUCUCACCUUCUAAAGAACCGUGAUGCCAUUAAUUUGGUGUCACGGGGAAUUAGGACUGUUACCUUGAAAAAAUUAGAGUGUUUAAAGCAGGCUCACGCUUGAAUACAUUAGCAUGGAAUAAUGAAAUAGGACAUCCGAUUCUAUUUUGUUGGUUUCUAGGAUCGAUGUAAUGAUUAAUAGGGAUAGUUGGGGGCAUUAGUAUUCAAUUGUCAGAGGUGAAAUUCUUGGAUUUAUUGAAGACUAACUACUGCGAAAGCAUUUGCCAAGGAUGUUUUCAUUAAUCAAGAACGAAAGUUAGGGGAUCGAAGACGAUCAGAUACCGUCGUAGUCUUAACCAUAAACUAUGCCGACUAGGGAUCGGAUGAUGUUAAUUUUUUAAUGACUCAUUCGGCGCCUUACG